ACUGAUCACCUCCAUGAAUCAACCAGAUACAAAUAAGUAAUAUAGUUGAUUCUCACUCUGUGAACAUUUAAACUCUGUGAACAUAACCAAGCAAAUAAUAAAACCUUCAAAGGAAAAGAGUGUUUUAUUAAAAUGAUUAAUCUUACUCACACUCAUCAUCAUGCUUCUCAAAAUGUAUUAUCAAAAUUGGAUACAUGCAUGAAUAUGAUUAUUGGUGAUCAAUAUGAUGAUAAUUCAAAUAUAUGAGGAAUUGGGAUUUUGAAAGCUUACCUAGCAAGACCCAUUUAACCAUGGGUACCAAAAAUAGAAAUUUAUCUAAACUAUAGGUACUUGGUCUAUCUGACCACACUAAGGAAUGCUAAAGCAAAAGACUUCAGUCAAGAAGAUUCAACCAGCAGAAGGCUUAAGAUAAUUCAGAAAUGAUUCUGAUAAAAUUCCUAUUUGUCAGAGCCUGUCCUUGAACAUUUGCUGAG
rnacentral:lncRNA from 1 species